CCUGACUGCUUUUAGAGAUUGCUUCGGCGUGCGACUGCUUCAGAGGCCUGAGGACACUUGCUUCCAUUCAGAGAUUGUGGAUGAAAAUCGGUCACCAGCUGCAGUAGGCACUUACCAGUGGCCUGCCUUGCAUUUUCACGAAAUUGUUCAUCCCCAAGAUUUCAUCUGUUUCUAAUCACAAUCACACAACAGAGGACCAAAUUAAAGACUCCCAGGCAAUAUUGUUUCUUGCCUCUCUGGAAAACCUGAAAAUUUCAGCAAGGAUUCAGAUACCUCACUCUUCUUAGAGAUGUUUUGCUAUUAAGGGAGCCAAAAGCAGCUGUCAAAACUAUAACGACGCUUUGCCAAGGCUCCGAAGAGAGGCCUGGAGAGGAUUACUGCUUUACUUUUGGGGCUACGUUUCCUGUUUACUGAGCCUUAACCCUCUUCUGAUGCCUUCAUCCUCUGCCUGGAAUGCAAAAUAUCAAGCUUGGA
rnacentral:lncRNA from 1 species